rnacentral:rRNA from 1 species
UGCCGAAUCAACUAGCCCUGAAAAUGGAUGGCGCUUGAGCGAGGGACCUAUACCCAGCCGUUGCAGGCUUGUGCGUUGUCUAUCGCCUGGCCGCAACGAGUAGGAGGGUCGUGGCGGUUGCGUCGAAGGCUUUGGGCGUAGGCCCAGCUGGAGCUUCCGUCAGUGCAGAUCUCGGUGGUAGUAGCAAAUAUUUAAGUUCGAUCCUUGAAGACUGAAGUGGAGAAGGGUUCCACGUGAACAGUAGUUGAAUGUGGGUCAGUCGAUCCUAAGAUACUGGCUUAUGCCUUGUAUCAUUGAGAGGGAAAAGUUUCUUUUCUCUCGGAUAUCAAAAGGGAAUAGGGUUAAUAUUCCCUAACGCAGACACAGAGAUUGCGGCUCUUUGAGUCGCUUGCGCGGUAACGCAUUCGAACUUGGUUACGUCGCUCAGAGACCGAGCUAGAGUUCUCUUCUCUAGUUAAGGAACGGACUCCCUGGAAUCGGUUCAGCCGUAGAUAGGGACGUUGUUUCCGUAAAGCAUCGCGGUUUCUGUGAUGUCUCGUGUUCUCUGGACGGCCCUUGAAAAACCAAGGAAGGCUAUCAAUCUGUGCUGCAUCGUACCGAUAUCCGCAUCAGGUCUCCAAGGUGAACAGCCUCUAGUCGAUAGAAUAAUGUAGGUAAGGGAAGUCGGCAAAUUAGAUCCGUAACUUCGGGAAAAGGAUUGGCUCCAGUGACCGGGUCGGUUGGCCUGUUAACUGAUGCUUGUGCGGUUUCGUCCGUGGCUGGCAGACGCUAACGCUGAAGCUGGACUAGUGACAAGACUGCCUUGUGGACGUUUCCAGGUGUGUGCUUUGUCUUCGGGCUUAGUAUCCUGACCGACCAUCAAAACGGUCGAACUGGAACUGGUACGGACUCGGGGAAUCCGACUGUCUAAUUAAAACAGAGGAGACAGAUGGUCCUUGCGGACGUUUACUGUCUCUGAUUUCUGCCCAGUGCUCUGAAUGUUAAAUCGUAGUAAUUCGAGUAAGCGCGGGUAAACGGCGGGAGUACUAUGAC